GACGAACGCUGGCGGCGUGCCUAACACAUGCAAGUCGAACGAAAAGAGGGAAAGAGCUUGCUCUUUCCGGAAUCGAGUGGCAAACGGGUGAGUAACACGUAAACAACCUGCCUUCAGGAUGGGGACAACAGACGGAAACGACUGCUAAUACCGAAUAAGUUCCAAGGGCCGCACGGCCCAUGGAAGAAAAGGUGGCCUCUACCUGUAAGCUAUCGCCUGAAGAGGGGUUUGCGUCUGAUUAGCUGGCUGGAGGGGUCACGGCCCACCAAGGCGACGGUCAGGGACCGGGCUUAGAAGAUUGACGGGCACACUGGAAUUUGAGAACGGUCCAAAAUCCUAGGGGAAGCAGCAGGGGGGAAACUUCCGAGAAGGGGGGAAGGCUGAAGGAAGAACGCCGGGUGGGGGGAAGCAGGCGUCGGGUUGUAAAACACUGUGAUCCGGGGAGAAAAGGCAGAGUGCGAAGAACUAACUGCAUUGACGGUACCGAAAAAGCAAGCCACGGCUAACUACGUG
rnacentral:rRNA from 1 species